rnacentral:rRNA from 1 species
UACGUAGGGCGCAAGCGUUGUCCGGAAUUAUUGGGCGUAAAGAGCUCGUAGGCGGUUUGUCGCGUCGGCCGUGAAAAACUUGGGGCUUAACCCCCAAGCCUGCGGUCGAUACGGGGCAGACUUGAGUUCGGCAGGGGAGACUGGAAUUCCAGGUGUAGCGGUGAAAUGCGUAGAUAUCUGGAGGAAUACCGGUGGCGAAGGCGGCAUCCUGGACCGACAUUGACGCUGAUGAGCGAAAGCUAGGGGAGCAAACGGG